AUUGAACGCUGGCGGCAUGCUUUACACAUGCAAGUCGAACGGCAACAGGCCGCAAGGUGCUGACGAGUGGCGAACGGGUGAGUAAUGCAUCGGAACGUGCCCAGUCGUGGGGGAUAACUGCUCGAAAGAGCAGCUAAUACCGCAUACGAUCUAUGGAUGAAAGCGGGGGACCGUAAGGCCUCGCGCGAUUGGAGCGGCCGAUGUCAGAUUAGGUAGUUGGUGGGGUAAAGGCCCACCAAGCCAACGAUCUGUAGCUGGUCUGAGAGGACGACCAGCCACACUGGGACUGAGACACGGCCCAGACUCCUACAGGAGGCAGCAGUGGGGAAUUUUGGACAAUGGGGGCAACCCUGAUCCAGCAAUGCAGCGUGCAGGAAGAAGGCCUUCGGGUUGUAAACUGCUUUUGUACGGAACGAAACGGUCUGGGUUAAUACCCUGGGCUAAUGACGGUACCGUAAGAAUAAGCACCGGCUAACUACGUGCCAGCAGCCGCCGUAAGAC
rnacentral:rRNA from 1 species